ACUAAUUUGCUAUUUGGUGACAUAAGAGGGGGAGUGCGCUUUGCUUUCCCGGGGUCUGGGGUUAAUUCCUCCUCUCUUCCUCAUAAACUCAGCUCCUCGAGCUCAAAACACAAAAGGGAGCGAGAGGUUCGAAUCUUUAGGGGAAAGUCUGUUAUAUACAGUACGUUUCGAGGCGAGUAAGAGAAAAAACAAUAAACACCACAGCUCUUUCCAGCUAGAAUAUUAGGCACCACAAGAAAAAUAUUUGACAAGCAGUUCUCGGUGCUUUAAAGACGAUGUGUUAUUUUAAUACUGAUGCUAUUGAAAGAAGCUUACAUUUUUGGUCGUACGUAACAAUCCCAACCCCCACUUGGGGGGGGUUGUAAUUGUCUCUCUCCCCUUGGACUUUUACUGAAAGGAGGCUCUCCUGCACUUGAGAGACGUGUUGAAAGGAUUUGUUUUGUUUUGAUUUGUUUCUUUCCAGGACAGCAAGUGGUGGGUUUUACUCUUUCUGUUAUUGUUGACUCUUAGGAAAUUUAUUGCUGCGAGAAAUGGUGUGUAUUCGGGGAGAGGGGUAUGUGUAUGCCUGUGUUCUACAGAAUUCUGUGAGCCAAAUAAAUGUUUGUGUUUUGCUUUUU